GAUGAACGCUGGCGGCGUGCCUAAUACAUGCAAGUCGAGCGGACGGACGAGAAGCUUGCUUUUCUGAUGUUAGCGGCGGACGGGUGAGUAACACGUGGAUAACCUACCUAUAAGACUGGGAUAACUUCGGGAAACCGGAGCUAAUACCGGAUAAUAUUUUGAACCGCAUGGUUCAAUAGUGAAAGACGGUCUUGCUGUCACUUAUAGAUGGAUCCGCGCUGCAUUAGCUAGUUGGUAAGGUAACGGCUUACCAAGGCAACGAUGCAUAGCCGACCUGAGAGGGUGAUCGGCCACACUGGAACUGAGACACGGUCCAGACUCCUACGGGAGGCAGCAGUAGGGAAUCUUCCGCAAUGGGCGAAAGCCUGACGGAGCAACGCCGCGUGAGUGAUGAAGGUCUUCGGAUCGUAAAACUCUGUUAUUAGGGAAGAACAAAUGUGUAAGUAACUAUGCACAUCUUGACGGUACCUAAUCAGAAAGCCACGGCUAACUACGUG
rnacentral:rRNA from 1 species